GACGAACGCUGGCGGCGUGCUUAACACAUGCAAGUCGAACGGAGUGGCGAACGGGGGAGUAACACGUGGGUGAUCUGCCUUGCACUUCGGGAUAAGCUUGGGAAACUGGGUCUAAUACCGGAUAGUGCAAGAUGAGCUCGCGGCCUAUCAGAUUGGUGGUGGGGUAAUGGCCUACCACGGCUUCGACGGGUAGCCGGCCUGAGAGGGUGUACGGGCACAUUGGGCCUGAGAUAUGUCCCAGACUCCGACGGGCGGCAUCAGUUGGGAAUGUUGCACAACGGGCGGAAGCGUGAUGCAGCGACGCCGGGUGGGGGAUGAAGGCUUUCGGGUUUUAAACGCCUUUCGACAGGGACGCGGUACCUGUAUAAGAAGCACCGGCUAACUACGUGCCAGCAGCCGCGGUAAUUC
rnacentral:rRNA from 1 species